rnacentral:rRNA from 1 species
AACGAACGCUGGCGGCAUGCCUAACACAUGCAAGUCGAACGAGACCUUCGGGUUUAGUGGCGCACGGGUGCGUAACGCGUGGGAACCUGCCCUUAGGUUCGGAAUAACUCCCCGAAAGGGGUGCUAAUACCGGUUAAUGUCUUCGGACCAAAGAUUUAUUGCCUUUGGAUGGGCCCGCGUUGGAUUAGCUAGUUGGUAGGGUAAAAGCCUACCAAGGCGACGAUCCAUAGCUGGUCUGAGAGGAUGAUCAGCCACACUGGGACUGAGACACGGCCCAGACUCCUACGGGAGGCAGCAGUGGGGAAUAUUGGACAAUGGGCGAAAGCCUGAUCCAGCAAUGCCGCGUGAGUGAUGAAGGCCUGAGGGUUGUAAAGCUCUUUUACCCGGGAUGAUAAUGACAGUACCGGGAGAAUAAGCUCCGGCUAACUCCGUG